ACGGAGGAUCCAAGCGUUAUCCGGAUUCACUGGGUUUAAAGGGUGCGUAGGCGGAUUGAUAAGUCAGUGGUGAAAUCCUGCAGCUUAACUGCAGAACUGCCAUUGAUACUGUUAGUCUUGAAUUUGAUUGAAGUGGCUGGAAUGUGUCAUGUAGCGGUGAAAUGCUUAGAUAUGACACAGAACACCGACAGCGAAGGCAGGUCACUAAGUCAACAUUGACGCUGAGGCACGAAAGCGUGGGGAUCAAACAG
rnacentral:rRNA from 1 species